rnacentral:rRNA from 1 species
GAUGAACGCUAGCGGCAGGCCUAAUACAUGCAAGUCGAACGGUGUCUUCGGACAUAGUGGCGCACGGGUGCGUAACACGUAUGCAACCUACCUUACAUUGGGGGAUAGCCUUUCGAAAGGGAGAUUAAUACCGCAUAAGACAGUAGCUGGGCAUCCAGCAGCUGUUAAAGAUUUAUCGAUGUAUGCUGGGCAUGCGUCCAAUUAGCUAGUUGGCGAGGUAACGGCUCACCAAGGCAAUGAUUGGUAGGGGAACUGAGAGGUCAAUCCGCCACACUGGCACUGAUAGACGGGCAAGACUCCUACGGGAGGCAGCAGUAGGGAAUAUUGGGCAAUGGACGCAAGUCUGACCCAGCCAUGCCGCGUGCAGGAUGAAGGCGUUAUGCGUUGUAAACUGCUUUUAUACAGGAAGAAACGACUCUUGCGAGAGGCAUUGACGGUACUGUAUGAAUAAGCACCGGCUAACUCCGUGCCAGCCGCCGCGGUAAGAC